GGCUUACUAUGAGAAUAGUCUCUUUCUCUUUCCCACACACACGCACUGCUCGGCUGUCAUCGCUGCGCUCUCCAAAGGAAGACACACUCUCCCUUGGUUCCUCUUCAGAUUUGGGGACUUUAGAUUAAAAAAAAGGAAAAAACACACACUCUUUCCCUGGUGUCCGCUCUCAGAUCCCACAGGUAUCAACAUAAAGCCUUGCUCAUUGCCACUGAGUCACACGACAAGUCAGGCUCUGACAAGUGCUCUGCAGGAAUCGAUUUUUCACACGAAGAUUAUCAACUAUGUUUCUGAGAGAGAAAGUGAGAGUUUGAUACUUUCUGGUGAGUUCUUCCAGUACCAGAGGUGACGCGUCACAUGCUCCUCACAAAAUAGCUGUCAUCUCCCAUCUGCCCCUUUAAUUGUGUCGUUUGAAUACCAUAUGUGUUUUGGAUUAGGAUAUGCUGGUGAAGUCAUCCAUUUGUGUGUUUUGUGUGUGUGUAUGUGGUAAUAUAUAUAUUGGAGGUGUAUUGGUUCUCUUUGACUGCUCUCUCUUGGCUGAAUCUGUCUUCUUUGAUUGAUUGGUCUCUAAACGCUCUCUUUCACACACACACACACACACACACACACACACACACACACACACACACACACACCAUACUCCAUUCUGGCAAAUAUGGAAUUCAUCAAUAAUGUUCCCUGCGGAUCCCUCAUCCUUGGUGGGUCAAAGGUUAAACUGGAACCAUGAUAAACAGAGCUCAGGGGCAAGAUUAUGGUCUGGAACUGUCUCACACACAAUCACACGUGUGCACACAAAUGCCCCACACACAGUCUCUCUCUCUCUCUCUCUCACUCACUCACACACACACACACACACACACACACACACACACACACACACACACACACACAGCAGCUGGGUCCACUCAGCUGGCAGUUUUAAUACAAGCCUGAUUGAGUGUGUUAAUGCUCUGAUGCAUCUGCCUUGUGAAACAAAGGAUGUUUGGGCAGUGACUAAUAAGAGCGAACUGGUCCUUUAACGAUGAAAGAUACACCACACUACUCCUUGGAGAACAAUCAUUCCCACAGUCUCCUACUGUGUUGUGACCCCUUGCCCUCUCUACGGACGGGUGCAGGAUAGAGGGAUCUAUAAGUUGAUUUGGAAGCUGCAGUGACCGGUGCUGAGCAAGGCUGACCGCUGUCGUUGCCUAGACUUGAGUUCUGUUUGCUGGGUAAACAUACCUCACAUGGCCUUUCUCCUGCCUUCAGCAUCGGGGGUCUAAUCCCAGUCUGGAACAGCACUGUUUUAACACUCAGCUACUGUGUGAAUCUGUAGGACAAAAAAAAAGAAAAGAUGAUCCUGCACAAGUUUUUUGCUGUAAAAAUGUCUUUGUGAUUGCCAAACACCUGCUCUGACAGAAGCAUCCAUAGGCUGGAGAUCUGCUCCUGUCGUUUAUUUUUUACACUUCUUCCAAAUGGGCUGCUGUCUUUACAAGCAAGGUGAUAAUCCCACUUUUUAUAGCUGUUAAGAUUGCGAACUGGCCUGCUUUCGGAGUGUUAAAACCCAUGACUGGGAUCUGGAAGACAGGAGAUCUCUAAACAGCAGUCGCAACAGCCGCUCUGAGCGAGGCCUACUGUAUGUCUCAGCCAAUCUGGAUUAAGUCCUAACCUCCUCUUUACAGGAUAUUCAGCACAGGAAACAUGACUGUGGUGGGAUGGAGCAUUUCUUUUGUGUUCAGACUGUAUAUACAUUUUUUUUAAUUUAUUUUUUUGAAUAAAAAAAUUGAGGACAGAAAAGAUCCCCA
ensembl:lncRNA